rnacentral:rRNA from 1 species
AGUGAACGCUGGCGGUAGGCCUAACACAUGCAAGUCGAACGGCAGCACAGUAAGAGCUUGCUCUUACGGGUGGCGAGUGGCGGACGGGUGAGGAAUACAUCGGAAUCUACUUUUUCGUGGGGGAUAACGUAGGGAAACUUACGCUAAUACCGCAUACGACCUACGGGUGAAAGCAGGGGAUCUUCGGACCUUGCGCGAUUGAAUGAGCCGAUGUCGGAUUAGCUAGUUGGCGGGGUAAAGGCCCACCAAGGCGACGAUCCGUAGCUGGUCUGAGAGGAUGAUCAGCCACACUGGAACUGAGACACGGUCCAGACUCCUACGGGAGGCAGCAGUGGGGAAUAUUGGACAGUGGGCGCAAGCCUGAUCCAGCCAUCCCGCGUGUGUGAAGAAGGCCUUCGGGUUGUAAAGCCCUUUUGUUGGGAAAGAAAAGCAGCAGGUUAAUACCCCGCUGUUCUGACGGUACCCAAAGAAUAAGCACCGGCUAACUUCGUG